GACGAACGCUGGCGGCGUGCCUAAUACAUGCAAGUAGAACGCUGAAGGAGGAGCUUGCUUCUCUGGAUGAGUUGCGAACGGGUGAGUAACGCGUAGGUAACCUGCCUGGUAGCGGGGGAUAACUAUUGGAAACGAUAGCUAAUACCGCAUAAUAUUGACUAUUGCAUGAUAGUCAGUUGAAAGGUGCAACUGCACCACUACCAGAUGGACCUGCGUUGUAUUAGCUAGUUGGUGGGGUAACGGCUCACCAAGGCGACGAUACAUAGCCGACCUGAGAGGGUGAUCGGCCACACUGGGACUGAGAAACGGCCCAGACUCCUACGGGAAGGAGCAGUAGGGGAUCUUCGGCAAUGGACGGAAGUCUGAACGAACAACGCCGCGUGAGAGAAGAAGGUUUUCGGGUCGUAAAGCUCAGUUGUAAGGGAAGAACGAGUGUGAGAGUGAAAAGCUCACACUGUGACGGUAUCUUACCAGAAAGGGACGGCUAACUACGUG
rnacentral:rRNA from 1 species